AGAGUUUGAUCAUGGCUCAGAGCGAACGCUGGCGGCAGGCUUAACACAUGCAAGUCGAGCGGGCGUAGCAAUACGUCAGCGGCAGACGGGUGAGUAACGCGUGGGAACGUACCUUUUGGUUCGGAACAACACAGGGAAACUUGUGCUAAUACCGGAUAAGCCCUUACGGGGAAAGAUUUAUCGCCGAAAGAUCGGCCCGCGUCUGAUUAGCUUGUUGGUGAGGUAACGGCUCACCAAGGCGACGAUCAGUAGCUGGUCUGAGAGGAUGAUUAGCCACAUUGGGACUGAGACACGGCCCAAACUCCUACGGGAGGCAGCAGUGGGGAAUAUUGGACAAUGGGGGAAACCCUGAUCCAGCCAUGCCGCGUGAGUAAUGAAGGCCCUAGG
rnacentral:rRNA from 1 species